GAUGAACGCUGGCGGCGUGCCUAAUACAUGCAAGUCGAGCGAACAGACGAGGAGCUUGCUCCUCUGACGUUAGCGGCGGACGGGUGAGUAACACGUGGAUAACCUACCUAUAAGACUGGGAUAACUUCGGGAAACCGGAGCUAAUACCGGAUAAUAUAUUGAACCGCAUGGUUCAAUAGUGAAAGACGGUUUUGCUGUCACUUAUAGAUGGAUCCGCGCCGCAUUAGCUAGUUGGUAAGGUAACGGCUUACCAAGGCAACGAUGCGUAGCCGACCUGAGAGGGUGAUCGGCCACACUGGAGCUGAGACACGGUCCAGACUCCUACGGGAGGCAGCGGUAGGGAAUCUUCCGCAAUGGGCGAAAGCCUGACGGAGCAACGCCGCGUGAGUGAUGAAGGUCUUCGGAUCGUAAAACUCUGUUAUUAGGGAAGAACAAAUGUGUAAGUAACUAUGCACGUCUUGACGGUACCUAAUCAGAAAGCCACGGCUAACUACGUG
rnacentral:rRNA from 1 species